GCUUGUCUCAAAGAUUAAGCCAUGCAUGUCUAAGUAUAACUCUUUUACUUUGAAAACUGCGAACGGCUCAUUAUAUCAGUUAUAGUUUCUUUGAUAGUCCCUUACUACUUGGAUACCCGUAGUAAUUCUAGAGCUAAUACAUGCAUCAAUACCCAACUGUUCGCGGAAGGGUAGUAUUUAUUAGGUAUAGACCAACCCUCCUCGGAGGUGCUUUGGUGAUUCAUAAUAACUUCGCAAAUCGCAGUAAUACUGCGAUAAAUCAUUCAAGUUUCUGCCCUAUCAUGCUCUCGAUGGUAGUGUAUUGGACUACCAUGGCUCUCACGGGUAACGGGGAAUUAGGGUUCGAUUCCGGAGAAGGAGCCUGAGAGAUGGCUACCACAUCCAAGGAAGGCAGCAGG
rnacentral:rRNA from 1 species